rnacentral:lncRNA from 1 species
UGUAAAUCACCUCCUUGAACUUGAAAAUCAGAUAGCGUGAGAAGAUGGAUCCUUUCCUUUUCAAGAACCUACACAGCAAUUAUAACAUUAUUUAGCUUGUGCUUUGUUGUAUUAAUCUUAUAAAAUUUAUGUAUAUAUUUUCUUAUUUUCUCUUUGAAUAUAGUGCUCUUUUUGGGAUCCGUUUUCUUACCUUUCAAACCAUUCUUAAAUUUCGAUAAAAUAAUAUUGGUAAAGUUCCCCCUUUUAUCUUUUUAGAAAUAUAAAUAUCUCGUUCUAAUGAAUUUUGUUUGAUAUUAUAUUAAAUUUACAAGUUAGUAACUUUAAGUUGUCACUUUCUGGACCACUCAACACUUUUGGAAUAAACUGUACCAAUCUACUAAGAAUUACAUCAUUCCCUUUAUAUGUAGGAAACUAUACAUCCAUAUCUAACUAUAGGAUUUGGAAUUUUGGCAUUUGGAGUUCUAAUGAAUUUAUAUGCAUGAAAUCUAUGACAACAUGGACCAACCUAAGAAGAUUGCCAAUUUUACCCCUUAAGGCGUUGGAAUUUCGAAAUGUGACUCAGAGUUUGAAGAAACUAGACACACUAAGAUUCCAAAAUAAUAAGUCUCAUGAGUUUUAGGUGUUCUUAUUGACUGGCAUGAAUUUUAGAAGUUGGAGGACAGAUUUGGAAAAAUUGAUCAUAAUAGCUUUUAAAUCACUUUUGGUGUUCUAUUAAGAACUUAAUGGUUAAGCCUAAAUUUUAUCACUUUUUAUAUGAUUGUUGUUUACUUAUUAGGCUAUGGAGAUAUGAAAUUCAAUUUAACCUAAGGGCCUUAAUGCAUGCAUAUUUAUAGACAUUCUUUAUUUUGUGAACAUAAGUUGUUUAGUAGAUUAGUUCCUCCUCCUUAGCAAUUAGAGAAACUUCUAUAAGAUGGAACAACAAAGAAACUAAUAUAUUUUUAUCUUCUAGUAUUGAUCCAUCACCAAAUAUUUUUUUUAGAGAAAGUAGCAUUGGUUCAAGUCUAGUUGAUGCAAAAUGAAUAACAAAAAGAAUAAAAGAUACCUACAUAGAUUUGUGAUGCCACCGACCACUCUUUGGCAAGCAAAAUGUAAUUCAUCCAAAAUCACACACUUUUUUAAACAGGUCCUUGCAAAGCUUUUUGUCAUUGUCAAAUCAGCCCCUACUUAAUAAAAAAUUCUAAAAAGACUUUCAUCAAACAGUUGGUGUGCAACACAAAAAAACUCCACCUCUAUGUGAAGUAUCAGUGUAUCAUGAUCCCAUUUUCAUUCCAACACACAAAUUUGGUGACUAGUGAAACGAGAUUGAUGAGGAUAAGAGAGGGGGCGGUUUCCGAUGACUUGGUUUUCCGACGAGUUGAUUUUAUGGCCUUAUGUUUCAGAUCUGGUGAAAUCAAAUCUGGUGGCUGAUGAAACAAGAUGAGAGAAGAAAAGAGAGUGAGGUGGUUGCUGACAAGGUGGUUUCACGACUGAUUCAAGGAGGAGGCUUAGGGCGGCGUUUCAGGAAGAGGAAAGGCGGAGAAAGCUUAUUUCCGACGAGAAUAUGAGUGGAGAUGGAGGGAACCGCUAGAUCAGGAGAAAAGGGAGAGGAAACAGUUAGCUGAUUCAGGCGCUGGUCCGACGAUUCUGACGAUGGACAGUGACUCUAGUAAUGGUCAUGUUGUCUUAAUAGGUGGUGCAAGUUAAAAAGAGGUUGAGAGACGUCAUAGUGGGGUGGGGGGUUUUGUAUUAGUCUAAUUAAAAAUGUUUUCAAAUGUUCUCAUUUGAACAUACCCAUAUAUAUAUANNNNNNNNNNNNNNNNNNNNNNNNNNNNNNNNNNNNNNNNNNNNNNNNNNNNNNNNNNNNNNNNNNNNNNNNNNNNNNNNNNNNNNNNNNNNNNNNNNNNNNNNNNNNNNNNNNNNNNNNNNNNNNNNNNNNNNNNNNNNNNNNNNNNNNNNNNNNNNNNNNNNNNNNNNNNNNNNNNNNNNNNNNNNNNUAUAUAUAUAUAUAUAAGUUCAAAUGAGAACCAUUAAAAGUUAAUAACUGUAAGAACCAUUUUUUUUAGGUUAUUAUUAAAAGUAUUUUAGUUGAUUCUAAUUAUUUGAUUAUUUUUAUGUUUUGAUAAAUGGAAAAAAACAAUAAGGGCUUGAUGGUAAUUUUGACAAAUUAAACUUAAAACUCAUUGUUAUGUAUCAGAUGUCAAACACUCAAGCCCUCAAACUCUUUCAAACUCUCUCACCAAACUUGAAGAACACACCAACCUUACCACCACCUACCACCAACCACUACCGCACCAUUGAUGUACCGUCGACAUGUCGUCACCGCACCACCACUGCUGCCGCCUCCUACCAUUGGUUAACCACUUCCAUCUGAUUUGUAUGCACCAAACGAUUCCAGAUCUACAUUUUCAGCUUCAGAUCCACGAUUAUCGCCACUAGAUCUAUGAUUUUCUGUUCCAUAUCUACAAGUGCCGACAAGCAACGAGGAUCCACCACUAUCGUUAACGAUCACCACCGUUGUUGUCGCCAUCCUCCGAUCUCUAGUGAAACAUCAUCAGAUCUGCCGGCUCCUACUAUUUCUCUCCCUCCUUCUCAUCCUCUCUGAUAUUUGGUGAAAAACUACUAGAUCAUAUGCAAAUAUGAUGUGUUUCAGGUUACAUCUCAAGUGAAACAUUACCGUCUACGUCGCAGUAGAUCUUACUCACACUAGAUCUAUCAUCUUUGUUUCCUCCACUACAAGAUUAGAAUUUGUCUGGUCCAGAUCUAUGGUUUUCGCUACCAAAAAUGUCCAGAUCUAUGGUUUUCGCUACCAAAAAUGUCCAGAUCUGCGAUUUUUGUCAACAACAAUGUCCAGGUCUACAAGCUCCAAUAGGAUCUGGUUUCAUUUUCUUCAAAUCUUAGAUUUGGUGAAACACCGCCAACUUGUCUCCAUCUAUUUCUCUCCGAUCUCUGGUGAAACACCACCAGAUCUGCAUCAGGUAUGUCAAUUUUUGUGUUGAUUGUUUUUCCUCUUGUUAAGCUGUGAAUUUAAUGUUUUAAUCUCUUUUUUGUUGUUUACUUUUCUUAAUAUUAGUUUUAACUACUAUUAAGUUGUGAAUCUAAUGUUAUUAAUACAUGAAUCCAACUUUGGGCUCUUAUUUGUUAUGAUACUUGCAUAUAAUUUUUGUUCAUAGCUUAGGUUUUGUAGUUGUUAUUUUGUGAAUUGAAUUUAGAAUGUGUUAUAAUGCUAAUAUAACAUCCGUAUUCCCAGGUAUCUUAUUUUAAUUAUAUAUCUUAAGUUUUAGGGAGGGAAUCGGCGAGUAGGCGCUCAGACUCGCCGAGCAGGAUCGUGAAUUCUAUCCGAAUUAAUGAUCGGACUCGACGAGUCGAUGAGUGGACUCGGUGAUUCCGUGCUGUUAAGUGAAACCCUAAAUCUCAGGGCCUGGACCCUAUUUAAAGGCCCUUAUGGCCGCCAUUUGUGGCCAUUACUCCCCUGUGAAAACCCUAGAGAGCAAAGAGAGCUUAGAGAGCAUUUUGGAGGCUAAUUCUUCAUCCUUUGGUAUGAUCUUGCAAGAAGGAGUGGGGAUAUAUCCAAGCUAGAUCGAUUGUGGAGCUUGGAUCUAUGUUGUUCACGCUGAGAUUCAUGUUUUGAGGUACAAGUUUCUUCCCAUUUCGUGUAUUUGAUAGAUUCCUUGAAUCUAAGAUUUCCUUUGUGCCAUUUGGAGUUGGAUAGUGAAGCAUUUGAGGUCCCUUUGGGUAUAGAUGAUAGAUCUGGACCUUGAGAGGUCCAAAAGGUCCCAAGCUUCCAGCUUUAUGAGGUUUCAUGUGAGCCUUGAGAGUUGAACCCCAUUUUUAAAGUUAUUUCUCCAUUUUUGGCUUUAUAAGCAUUGCAUGAACGUAAAGUUUGAACCUUUAUGUCACUUUUGAGUGAUAUGAGUAUAGAUCUACUGGUUGGUGAAGCAGAUCUGACCUCAAAGGAUCGUUUGAGUGUUUUCAAGGGAGAAACUCGUCGAGCCCAUAAGGGACUCGACGAGUCGAGUCGGGUUGCCCCGCGAUUCGCGACCUGUGAUGACCCGUUGAGUAUAGGGUUGACUUAGCGAGUCGAGUGAGGACCAUGGGCGAAGAGGACAUGCAGGGACACGCCGAGUCGCACGAGUGCACUCGACGAGUCUGGUCAAAGUUUGACCGUUGACUUUUGUUGACUUUUAGGGUUUGGUCAACGAUCGAACUUGUGGACCAUUUGAAGGGUAAAAUGGUCUUUUAGCCUUCUUUGGGCUCAUGGAAAAGACUAGUCUAGCCUGGAGAGCCGUUAUUGAUUUGAGAUAAUUGUCUAUGUUUUUAGGCGAAGGCUAGAUCAGUUGAUACGUGUGCGAGAUUAUCCGAGAUAGCCGAGGUGAGUCUUCUCACUAUACUGUACCUGGAAGGGUACCUAUGUGUGACCAAAAGGUCUUAUACGUGCUAUAUAUGUUGAUAUGUGUUAUGUAUGCUAUGUAUGAAAAGGACCAGAAGGUCAAGAUGAUAUGGACCGGAAGGUCAAGAGGACAUGGACCGGAAGGUCGGGAGGUUACGGACCGGAAGGUCGAUACGGGUGGGACCGAAAGGUCUACCGGGAUUUGGGAUGGAAGUCCCCUGAGACACUUGGACCGGAAGGUCCCACAGAGUUAUGGCAUGGGAAGGCGUAUGUGUUAUAUGUGGUAUUUUGGGGAAGUCACUAAGCAUUUAUGCUUACAGUUGUUGUGUUGGGUGUUUCAGGUACUAGUGAGGACCGUGGGAAGGCGCCGUCAUGAUCCGUACACACUGAGAGGAUUUAUGUAGUUGAGAUAUUUUGAGAUUAUGGGAUUUGUUUAUUAUGAGGAUAUUGGAUACAGUUGUUGGAUAUUGUUUUUGGUGAUUGAAAAUAUGAUUUAAAAAUGAAAAUUUGUUUUGAAAAUUUACGUCGUUACAAGUUGGUAUCAGAUCCUUGGUUUGAGGGAUUCGGGUGCAUCUUCGGGUGUAUCUGAACUCAAGCUGAGGGUUUGAGAAAGUUUUUCAUAAAAUAAACAAUUUUUCCAAAAGAGUAGAAGAUUUUGAGAAAAAUAGAAAGGAGCAGUGUGUACGAUCAGCCAGCGCCCGAACGUUGAUUUCCCAAAAUACCCUUACAUUAUGUGUUAUGAGAUAUGUUAUGAUAUGAUAUGCAUGCUAGAGUAGGCUAGGUAUUCAUAUUAGGACUAGAGUGGCCUAAUUUGUGAUGCCUUGGCCUAGGAAGAUUUCUGCUGCUAUUAGAUGCUUGAGAGUGAGUAGGUAGCAGUAGGGAGAUUAUGAGAGGUCUACCGAAGGGUAGCCUGUGCCAGCGAUAUAUAAAGUACUUUUGAACUAAGAUCCAAGGAGGAGGACUUGGGGUGAAUAUUGAUGCGGUGUGGAUUGUAGUAUAAGGGCCCGUACUACCGAAGACACCGUAUCAGUACGCAGUCCAAGUAAGAAUCCUUAGGGUACUAGGGGAACAAGUAGGGUUGUGUUAUCGAGUGCGAGUAUGCUCGAGCGAAUCUCUGAUAUUUUAUGUUGUAUUUCAGAGAGACAUCAUGGUUGGGACACGCCACACACCUGAGAGCAGUGGUGUUAGCGAUGAGGAGAUCCGCAGGUUGAUUCAUGAGGAGGUGGUUGCGGCCAUCCGAGCUGAGAUACCAGAGAUGUUCGGGUCUAUCAAGACCACGUUGAUCGAGACUUUUGAUGAGCGGUACGCGGUAGUGACUGAGGUUGCGGCUGCUGCAGCUGUGGCUGCUACCAUGCCUCAGGGAGGUGACUCGUUGUUGUUUCGGGAGUUCAGCAACACGAAGCCACCGGAGUUUGAUGGGACACAAGACCCGAUCGCUGUGAUGAGAUGGAUUUCUGACAUCAAGGGAUGCUUCUAUACGUGUUCAUGUCCGGAGCAUCUGAGGGUACGAUUCACGUUGAACCAGCUUUGCUUGGGAGCGAAGGACUGGUGGAAGUUCGUGACGGCGAGGUUCACUCUUGCAGAGAUUUCAGAGGUGACCUGGGAGAGGUUCACCAACAUGUUCAGAGACGAGUAUGUUCCCCCAGUGGAGAGGGAACGGUUGGCUCAGGAGUUCUUGACCCUUAAGAAGGGUACUGAUUAUGUUACUAUGGUUACCAGGAAGUUUCAUAAGAGGGCGAUGUUCUGCCCUGAGCAGGUGUCUACUGAGCAGACACGCAUGAGCCGGUAUUUGGGCAUUUUGAGGAGGGAUAUUCGGGAGUUCGUAUCAAACUCGACUUACCAGACAUUUUCUGAGCUCCAGGCAAAUGCCCGGAAGAGGGAGAUUGAGUUGGAGACUCAGGCCAAGGGGGAGGCCGAGUCUCGGGGGAUGGAUCGACGGCUGGCACAGUCUCAACCGGCAACCAAGCGGGCAAAGCCCGCCGAUUCGAGAUCUGGAGGCCAGAAGGGACGCACUUGUGGAAAGUGCGGCAAGGGUCAUGAGGGGGUCUGUCGAUCAGGUACUUGCUACAAAUAUGGAAAGGAGGGGCAUAUAGCCAAGGAUUGCCCCAAGGGAUUCAUGGUUUGUUUUCAUUGCGAUCAGACGGACCACCGGAAGGCCAAGUGUCCGCAGCUGCAAGGGACAUCACAGGGAGCACAAUAGGGAUCUGCCAUUGCCGCCGUGCGAGCUAUUGAGGUUCGACCGGUGAAGGCCGAGGCACCGAAGGCUCGUGGGAGAGCCUUCCAGUUGACAGCGGAGGAGGUCCGUGUAGCGCCCGAUGUCGUGGCUGGUAUGUAUUCUUUCAUUUAUUUAUGUUGAGUUUAAGGUGUUGUGCCUAUAUCAUGAUAUGCGUAGGUACUUUUCUUGUGAAUUCUGUACCUGCUUUGGUGUUAUUUGACUCGGGUGCGAGUCGGUCAUUUAUUUCCUUAGCGUUUAGUCAGCACAUUAGUAUCCGACGAGAGGCUUUGAGUCGACCUCUGCAAGUUUCUAUAGCUGACAAGCGAGUAGUGUAUGCUACGGAUGUGAUUCGAGGAUGUGUACUUGAGAUCUUCGGUGUGGAGUUCUCGAUAGAUCUGCUCCCGAUUGCAAUGGGGGACGUGUGUGUCAUAGUGGGUAUGGAUUGGUUGAGCCGAUUUGGGAAUGUUAUAGACUGCGAGUGACAGUUGGUGACGAUACGAGACCCCAGUGGGGGAGUACUUACGGUGUACGGCGAGGGUACCCGAUGUGGGUCAGCAUUUUGUUCGGCUACCAGGGCGAGGUAGAGUUUACAGCAGGGCUGCAGCGGGUUUUUAGCCUAUGUGAUGGACACACAAGUGGCCGCUGGGAGGCCAAGUUCGAUUGAUGAGGUUCCAAUAGUGCGCGAGUACCCGGAUGUUUUUCCCGAGGAGUUACCGGGUGUGCCUCCCGAGAGGCAGGUAGAGUUCCGUAUCGAUCUGGUUCCGGGGGCAGCGCCUAUCGCCAAGGCGCCAUAUCGCCUUGCGCCGUCGAAGAUGCAGGAGUUAUCCUCGCAGCUUCAGGAGCUGUUGGGGAAUGGGUUUAUUAGACCGAGUAGCUUACCAUGGGGAGCGUCGGUCCUUUUUGUCAAGAAAAAUGAUGGUUCACACCGGAUGUGCAUUGAUUACCGGGAGUUGAACAAGUUGACGGUCAAGAACCGUUAUCCUUUACCGAGGAUCAACGAUUUGUUCGAUCAGUUGCAAGGAGCGUCUCGGUUCUCCAAGAUUGAUCUGAGGUCGGGAUAUCAUCAGAUGAGAAAGCAGGAUGAGAAUAUCCAGAAGACGGCGUUCAGAACUCGUUAUGGGCAUUACGAGUUCGUGGUGAUGCCUUUUGGGCUCACCAAUGCACCGGCAGCGUUCAUGGAUCUCAUGAACAGGGUGUGCAGGCCGAUGCUGGAUCGGUCGGUGAUUGUGUUCAUUGAUGAUAUUUUGGUGUAUUCAAGAUCUAGAGAGCAGCACGAGGAGCAUCUGAGAGAGAUUCAUAGGGUAUUGAGGUCAAAGAGGCUUUAUGCCAAAUUCUCCAAGUGUGAUUUUUGGUUACGAGAGGUCCAAUUCUUGGGACACCUCGUUAACCAGAAUAGGAUUUUGGUCGAUCCGGCCAAGAUUGAGGCGGUUAUGAGGUGGGAGGUGCCGAGAUCACCCACCGAGAUCAGGAGUUUUCUAGGAUUGGCCAGCUAUUAUCAGAGAUUUAUCAAAGAUUUCUCCAAGAUCGUCGUGCCUCUCACCAGGUUGACCCGGAAGGGUGCUGCUUUUUCAUGGGGUCUGGAGCAGUAGACCUCGUUUGAGACACUUUGCCAGAGAUUGUGCGAAGCCCCGGUGCUAGCCCUCCCGGAAUGGAUGGAGGAUUUUGUGGUGUAUUGUGACGCAUCGAUAUUGGGGUUGGGUGCAGUACUUAUGCAGAGGGGGCAUGUGAUAGCGUAUGCAUCGAGGCAGCUGAAGCCUCAUGAGACGAGGUAUCCUACCCACGAUUUGGAGUUGGGGGCAGUAGUGUUCGCCCCCAAGAUCUGGCGUCACUAUUUGUAUGGGGUUCGGUGUACCAUUUACACGGACCGCAAGAGUUUAAAGUAUUUGAUGGACCAGCCCAAUCUGAAUAUGCGCCAGAGGAGAUGGUUAGACGUGGUAAAGGAUUACGAUUGUGAGAUCCUGUACCACCCAGGCAAGGCUAAUGUCGUAGCUGAUGCCCUGAGCCGUAGGGCAGAGAGCGCCUCGAUUCGAGACAUUUGUAUGCGAUUGACAGUGAUGACUCCGGUGUUGGACGCCAUUCGGGAGGCCCAGGCAGAGGCCAUGAAACCGGAGAACUAUAAGAGGGAACGGGUGAUUGGGCAGGUAUCGGAGUUCAUUACCGAUAGUCGCGGGCUUAUGACCUUUCAGGGUCGGAUUUGGGUGUCGUAUGCAAGCGGGGCACGCACCACUUUGAUGUAGGAGGCGCAUAGAUCGAGAUUUUCGAUCCAUCCCGGGGCCACUAAGAUGUAUUUGGAUCUGAAGAAAGAUUAUUGGUGGCCCUAUAUGAUGAGGGAUGUAGCAUGGUUUGUUGAGAGGUGCUAAACCUGUAGCAGGGUUAAGGCCGAGCACCAGUGUCCGCAUGGCAUGUUGCAGCCACUUGAGGUUCCCCAAUGGAAGUGGGAACAUAUUUCUAUGGAUUUCAUCACCAAGUUGCCAAGGACCAUGAGGGGUGUCGACGCGAUUUGGGUGAUCGUUGACCGGCUGACGAAGAGCGCUCACUUUCUUGCUAUUAGUGAGAGCUUUUCUGCUGAGAGGCUGGCAGAGUUGUAUGUGAGGGAGGUGGUAUCACGGCAUGGAGUGCUGAUCUCGAUUGUAUCAAAUCGGGAUGUACGUUUCACUUCCAGGUUCUGGAAGAAGUUCCACGAGGAAUUAGGCACGAGGCUGCAUUUCAGUACCGCUUACCACCCUCAGACGGACGGACAAAGAGAGCGAACGAUUCAGACGCUCGAGGACAUGCUUCGGGCCUGUGUGUUGGACUUCGGAGGGAGUUGGGACACGUAUUUGUCGUUGGCUGAGUUUACCUAUAACAACAAUCACCAUUCGAGCAUUGGUAUGCCUCCCUUCAAGUUGAAGUAUGGGAGGAGGUGUCGGACUCCCAUCUGUUGGGGAGAGGUAGGGCAGCGAGUGAUGGGUAGCACUAAGAUAGCGCUUCAGACAACAAAGCAGAUACAACAGGUCAGGCAGAGGUUGUUGACAACUCAUAGUCGUCAGAAGAGUUACGCGGAUAGGCGACGAUCCGGUUUCAGGUCGGAGACUUCGUACUCCUGAAAGUGUCUCCUUGGAAAGGAGCGAUUCGAUUCAGGAAGAGAGGCAAGCUGGGGCCCCGGUAUAUUGGGUCGUUCUGGGUGACAGCACGAGUGGGCAGGGUAGAUUAUCGGUUAGAGCUACCUGCAGAGUUGAGUCAGAUACAUGAUACCUUCCACGUGUCUCAGCUGAGGAAGUCUAUAGCCGACGAGUCAGCGGUGGUACCAUUGGAGGAUAUUCAGGUGGAUGCGAGCCUGAAUUAUGUUGAGAGGCCAGUCGAGGUGGUAGAUCGGAAGAUCAAGGUUUUGAGAAACAAGGAAGUGUCAUUGGCUCUGAUUCAGUGGUAGCAUCGAAAAGGAUCUGAGCUGACCUGGGAGCCGGAGGCGGAGAUGCGGAAGCUUCAUCCAGAGCUGUUUGUAGAAUGAGAGUUCGGGGGCGAAGUCUGUUUCUAGUGGGGGAGAAUUGUAACAUCCGGAUUCCCAGGUAUCUUAUUUUAAGUAUAUAUCUUAAGUUUUAGGGAGGGACUUGGCGAGUAGGCGCUCAGACUCGCCGAGCAGGAUCGUGAAUUUUGUCCAGAUUAAUAACCGGACUUGACGAGUUGAUGAGUGGACUCGGCGAGUCCGCACUAUUAAGUGAAACCCUAAAUAUCAGGGCCUGAGCCCUAUUUAAAGGCCUUUAUGGUUGUCAUUUGUGGCCAUUACUCCCCUGUGAAAACCCUAGAGAGCAAAGAGAGCUUAGAGAGCAUUUUGGAGGCUAAUUCUUCAUCCUUUGGUAUGAUCUUGCAAGAAGGAGUGGGGAUAUAUCCAAGCUAGAUCGAUUGUGGAGCUUGGAUCUAUGUUGUUCACGCUGAGAUUCAUGUUUUGAGGUACAAGUUUCUUCCCAUUUCGUGUAUUUGAUAGAUUCCUUGAAUCUAAGAUUUCCUUUGUGCCAUUUGGAGUUGGAUAGUGAAGCAUUUGAGGUCCCUUUGGGUAUAGAUGAUAGAUCUGGACCUUGAGAGGUCCAAAAGGUCCCAAGCUUCCAGCUUUAUGAGGUUUCAUGUGAGCCUUGAGAGUUGAACCCCAUUUUUAAAGUUAUUUCUCCAUUUUUGGCUUUAUAAGCAUUGCAUGAACGUAAAGUUUGAACCUUUAUGUCACUUUUGAGUGAUAUGAGUAUAGAUCUACUGGUUGGUGAAGCAGAUCUGACCUCAAAGGAUCGUUUGAGUGUUUUCAAGGGAGAAACUCGUCGAGCCCAUAAGGGACUCGACGAGUCGAGUCGGGUUGCCCCGCGAUUCGCGACCUGUGAUGACCCGUUGAGUAUAGGGUUGACUUAGCGAGUCGAGUGAGGACCAUGGGCGAAGAGGACAUGCAGGGACACGCCGAGUCGCACGAGUGCACUCGACGAGUCUGGUCAAAGUUUGACCGUUGACUUUUGUUGACUUUUAGGGUUUGGUCAACGAUCGAACUUGUGGACCAUUUGAAGGGUAAAAUGGUCUUUUAGCCUUCUUUGGGCUCAUGGAAAAGACUAGUCUAGCCUGGAGAGCCGUUAUUGAUUUGAGAUAAUUGUCUAUGUUUUUAGGCGAAGGCUAGAUCAGUUGAUACGUGUGCGAGAUUAUCCGAGAUAGCCGAGGUGAGUCUUCUCACUAUACUGUACCUGGAAGGGUACCUAUGUGUGACCAAAAGGUCUUAUACGUGCUAUAUAUGUUGAUAUGUGUUAUGUAUGCUAUGUAUGAAAAGGACCAGAAGGUCAAGAUGAUAUGGACCGGAAGGUCAAGAGGACAUGGACCGGAAGGUCGGGAGGUUACGGACCGGAAGGUCGAUACGGGUGGGACCGAAAGGUCUACCGGGAUUUGGGAUGGAAGUCCCCUGAGACACUUGGACCGGAAGGUCCCACAGAGUUAUGGCAUGGGAAGGCGUAUGUGUUAUAUGUGGUAUUUUGGGGAAGUCACUAAGCAUUUAUGCUUACAGUUGUUGUGUUGGGUGUUUCAGGUAGUAGUGAGGGUCGUGGGAAGGCGUCGACAUGAUCUGUACACACUAAGAGGAUUUAUGUAGUUGGGAUCUUUCGAGAUUAUGGGAUUUGUUUAUUAUGAUGAUACUGGAUACAGUUGUUGGAUAUUGUUUUUGGUGAUUGAAAAUAUGAUUUAAAAAUGAAAAAUUGUUUUGAAAAUUUACGUCGUUACAACUAAUGUUUUCUCAAAUAAUGUGAAUCUAGGUUUUCUAAGUUAUGAAUUGUGAUGUUUAAAUUUUUUAUUAAUUUUUUAGUCAUGUUAAUGUUAGUUUUAAAUGCUAUGAACAAGAAAAUAUUAGUUUUAUGUUUUGAAUACAUGGUUUUUUUACAAGUUUAAGUUGUGAAUAUAUGAUUUUUUAUAAGUUUUAAGCUCUGAAUGCAUGUUUUAUAUUUAUUUUCUACUUACAUCUAUUAUAGAUCUCUACCAUACAUUUUUUUGAUCGUUUUUUUCUUCUGUUAAGGUGUGAAUUUAAUGUUUUAAUCUCUCAUUUGUUAUUUAUUUUAUAAUCUUAGUGUUAACUGCUAUUAAGAUGUGAAUUUUCUGUUUAAACUGUGAAUUGACUAUAUAAGAUGUGAAAUUUGUGAAUUAAAUUGUUCGUUUAUUGUAUUAAGUUGUAAAUUUUGGGUUAGUUUAAACUAUGAAUUAAUUGUAUUAAAAGUGUUAAGUUGAUAAUAUGGUUGUGAAUGCAUACUUUUUGUGUAUUCAACUGAGAUUUAUAGUAUUAAGUUAUGAACUUUGUAUAUUAAGAUGUGAUUUGUGUGUUUUAAAUUGUGAAUUGACUGUAUUAAGUUAUGAAUUUUGUGUAUUAAACUAUGAUUUUGUGUUUUAAACUAUGAAUUGAAUGCAUUAAGCUAUUAAUUUUCUAAUUAAAUUAUUAACUGACCUUAUUAAGUUGUGAAUUUUGAAUGAAAUUAGUAUUAAAAUAUAUAUAAAUGAUUUAUAUAUGAAUGUUUUGUAAUAAUUUUCUUGUGAAUAUAUUUAUUUUUUGUGUUUUAUACAUAUUUAAGAAUGUAUUACUUUUUAUAAUUAAUUUGUAUUAAAUUCUAAAUAAGUAAAUUGUUUUGUUUAUUAAAUUAUGAAUAUAAUAUUUAAGCUGUCAUUUAAUGAUUUUAUAUAUACAGAUCUGAUUUGGAAUGAAUGAUGAUUGUGACGGCGGCACAUGUGGUUGGUGGUGGCGUGUGUUAGUUUGAGUUUGACUUCUUUAAAUAUGUAAAGUAGUGUAGAAUAUAUUGUAUUAUGUUAUGUUGUGAAUUUUAUCUAUUAAACUAAAACGAACUUUAUUAAGCUGUAUAUUUUAUACAAAUUUUAUGUUAAAAUAUGAAUGAAUGUAUGUACGAAAAUAUUAAACUAUGUAUUAAUGAAUUAAUAUCUUUAUUAGAAUGUGAAUAUGAUAUUCUAAACUGUAAAUAUAUGUUAUACACGACACAUUUUUUUUUAAAUAAAUCUACAACUUAGAAAAAAAAAUGAAUUUGUCAAGGCAUAGUUUUAUUUUUUUAUUAAAAUUUUGUAUAUUUGGGUGCAAAAACGAAAUUUUAUAUGUUAAAAAUAUUACCAAAAAAAUGAAAGUUACAAUGUUUGUUCUACUAAACUGUUAAUACAAGUUGAAAAUGUCAUUGAACUUGGUGUUAAUCCAACGAUGGUCCGACAGCUGUUCUACAACAGAUGACAACUAGUUGUAAAUUACGGAAUGAAAAUGUUUUCUUAAUAUAAUAUUUAUGUUUGAUGUCUAUAAAAUUCCCUAAAUGAAAACAUUUAAAAAAAAUGGUUUUGAANUAAACCACGGUUGGUACAUUUAAAAUUAUUAUAAACAAAAUAUGUUUUUAUUUAUUUUCCACCACAUAAAUGACAUUUCCAAAAAGUAGAAUGUCAUAUAAAGAAAUGUUUUUAUUUAUUUAUUUUCCAAUCUAUGUUCGAAAUAUUCACAAAAAACAAUAUAAUUUUAAGAUGUAGAAUGUUAUAAAUGAUAGUUUUUCAGAAAUUAAAAUACUAUAAAAGAAAAUUUUGCUUAUUAUUUUCCACUCUUUGUAGAAAAUCCUCAAAAAGAGGCCGUUUUACAAAGUGUGAUGCUAUAAAUGAUAAUUUCCAGAAAGUAGAAUGUUAUACAAGAAUUUUUUUUUUUUAAUUUUCCACUCCAUGUCGAAAUCUUAGAAAAAAAAACCAUUUUAGAAAAUAUAACACAAUAAAUGACAUCGAAAUAGAAUUUUGUUUUGCACUUGAGACUUGAGACCCAUGAUGAUAUUCAACUAUUAAAAAAACCCAAUUUUUUCUACUAUUUUCUACAAAUGAAAUUAGCAAAGUACAUUGGUAAAACCAUACAAAACCAAUUUUCAAAGAUUCCAACUUUCAUCAUUUCUAAAUACAACUUUCUAAAAAAAAUCUUUAUUUAAGAUGAAAGCCCAAGUUUUAUCAAAAACACCAAUGUAGAUCCAAAGUACAUUGCUAAAACCGUAAAAAGAAAAAAAAAAUCUCCAAGCGACUUCUAAUACCCCCAUUUCCAAUAAUCUGCUAAACUACAACAGGAAUAGAAAAUUAAAAUUUUAAAAUUGUAUAAAGCCAAAAAUAAGAAAACCCAAUUUCAAACUUUAAAAAAAAAACAAAUUUCCAAAAAAAAAUUGAACCAAAAAACUCAUUUUUUUAAAUAGCAUAAAUUUGAAUCUUAGUCUCAUUUGAAUCUUAAUCAUCUGUUUGGGUCCUUCAGUUGGAUUGGUGAGAAUAAGUUUGACAAUUGUCAUUAUAAAGUUUUCAUUUCAAAUGUGUCAUGUUUAGGUUUGUUAUAAAACAAACAAUUAUAUUAUAAUCAACCGGUUCUAAUAAAUAAGGAAAUCAAAAGAAGUUACAUUAAUUCCUAAUUGUCAUAUUAAAUUUAGACACUUAAACGUAAAACAAAUUUUGAGGUAACUAUUUUAUAAAAUUCCCUUAUAUCAUAUAUUUAUAGAUUAAUUGUUCAAACUAAAAUGGAACUUAUAGAAAAAAACAUACCAAGUAACUUACUUGAGUUUCUUUGCACCUGCACAUUUAAAAGAGACAUACCAUCAUUCAAAGAAAUCAAGUUUGAAAAUACAAAACAAAAUUAUCAAAUAUUCAAUAUUGGUUCUAAAUGAGAUGAAGUUAAGUCUUAUCUGUUUCUCUAAUGUUAUCGUCUUAUUACAUGGUGAUCUCACCAGAAAAAAAAAAAAAUCCUCUGAGGUUUUAGUUCCUACUAUUCCACAUUUCAUUCAAACUAAACAAAAGCUGAUGACCAAAAAAAUCUAAAAUUCUUCGCAACAUCAUAUAAAAGCGGGCUAAUCAAUGACCAAAAAACUAUAAUUUUGCACACUUACUAAAACAAUAUGCAGUUAAACAAAAGCCUCAUGUUAAUUAUUAAAGCUUCAAAAUACAUUAUACAACAUAAAAACAAUUUGCAUGCUAACUAAUGAAUGUGGUUGAAAAAAAAUCUAAAAAACAAAGACAUCAGUAAUCUCGAAAUCAUAAGUGUAUAUGUGGAAAUCAAAUUUCUGCCUAUCUUUCAUGAAAAUACAAAUGCAAAAUAGCAAUAUACUUUCGUUAACUUGCUAAUUUCAACAUCCUACUUUCAUGUUUUGCCAUGAAACCAUUGUAAUAAACUUUAAUACCGAAUGAAAAAUAAAUAAUUGCAUGACUACUUUCAUUUGCUUGUCUUUUAAAGCAUGGUAAUGUAACCUGCAUUUUAUUGUCCCUUGGGCAUAAAAUACACUUUAAAAGUAAAAUCCCUAAAAUGAACCCUUAGCCACAGUUAGGUUUGGGAUUAGCAAAACAAAGCAGACAAACCUGGAUACAAAGAACUGCAUGCAAUUUAAGUACCAUGUCUUCACCAUGACAUUACUACAUAUGAGACAUUUUCACAAGCACCUGGUGUGCUUUCCACGUUUCUUACCCACUAUUUAAUUGAAGAACUUCCUUAAAUACUACUUAUAAAACUAAAAUUAUAGUUCCUUUGAGAUCCAAGACACAUGUUUAUGUUUCUAAGAAACAUAACUCAUUCCCGCUCAAAUUCCUCUUAGUUAUACUAUCUUUAUCACCCACUCUUUUUCUUUGGAAAAUUUUGAAAAAAAAAAAGAAACAAAAGAAUGAAUCACAAUCCAAAAGGCCAUUAGGAGUUAGAAACAUAUACACCUUAUCUUCAAACCCGUUGAUUUGUUGCUUAUGUUCUAUCUUUUUCAGUAACCGUUAGAUGCAUCAGAAGGAAAGCAAGUCAGAAGUUAGAGAGACUGAGAAGGAAGUGGCACAGAAUACAACAGAAAAUCGGGUAGUGAUUGAAGUCAUAUGAUGGUGGAAGAGACAUGGUGGUUUGGCUACCGUGUUUUGGGUAUUGGUUUAGAUUAGCAUAGUCGGUGGUCGGGUGUAGUAGUGGAGGUAAGGUGGUGGUUCAACAAAUUUCUAGGGUUUUCAUAGAGACGAGGCAAGAGUAAAUGUAAAUCGAUGGGAGUAGCGAAGGAAUCGGGGGUGUAUUGGAAAACGAAAGCAAAGAUAAUAUGGAGAUAGUUGUAGAUUUCAAACGAUGCUCAACUACACUAAUUGCCCUAAAG